ACUCCUACGGGAGGCAGCAGUGGGGAAUAUUGCACAAUGGGCGCAAGCCUGAUGCAGCCAUGCCGCGUGUAUGAAGAAGGCCUUCGGGUUGUAAAGUACUUUCAGCAGUGAGGAAGGUGGGUAUGUUAAUAGCAUACUCAUUUUGACGUUAGCUGCAGAAGAAGCACCGGCUAACUCCGUGCCAGCAGCCGCGGUAAUACGGAGGAUCCAAGCGUUAUCCGGAAUCAUUGGGUUUAAAGGGUCCGUAGGCGGUUUUAUAAGUCAGUGGUGAAAUCCGGCAGCUCAACUGUCGAACUGCCAUUGAUACUGUAGAACUUGAAUUAUUGUGAAGUAACUAGAAUAUGUAGUGUAGCGGUGAAAUGCUUAGAGAUUACAUGGAAUACCAAUUGCGAAGGCAGGUUACUAACAAUAUAUUGACGCUGAUGGACGAAAGCGUGGGUAGCGAACAGGAUUAGAUACCCUGGUAGGAUAGC
rnacentral:rRNA from 1 species